rnacentral:lncRNA from 1 species
GACUACUUGUUUACCGAUUGGGACGACAACAAAGAACAUGAUGCUAUUGUCUCCCAAGGUGGAAGUGUCAUUAUUUCACCUUUGGGACAGGUUCUCGCCGGACCAAACUUUGAAUCAGAGGGUCUCAUCACAGCUGAUCUUGGUAUGUAUAUGUAUAUACACUCUCAUUUGAUAUUCAUCAAUUUGUUUUUGAGCUAAUCAUAUCAAUAACGUUAUUUUUUAUCAAGAUCUUGGAGAUGUAGCAAGAGCCAAGUUAUACUUCGAUUCGGUUGGACAUUACUCGAGACCAGAUGUUUUACACUUGACCGUCAAUGAGCACCCGAGGAAACCGGUUACAUUCGUGACGAAGGUGGAGAAAGCUGAGGAUGACUCAAACAAAUACUCAGAGACUUAAAGUUCGUCUGCUGGAGUUAUGUCAAUCGUAUGGAGUAAGUCCAAAAAUGUUCUGUUGAGUUUUCAUAUUUAUGUUCAAGUUUAUUUAUCUUUCUCUUCAAUGGUAAGAUCUAUGGAGUCAAGUAAUAAUGGUAAGAUCUAUGUUGUUGAAUAAAACGAAUUGGUUCUGAUCUCCUCUUGUAUUUUAAAAUUGUGCCAUUGUGUUUUAUCUAAUUUGAGCGUUGAAUCUCGGAAGUUGUUCAGCCGUAAAACUAUGUAGCCAAUUGUUAUGAAUCAUGAUUUGCAUAGAAUCACAAAGAAACAUGGAAGCUGAAAAAUAUAUAGUCUAAGACAGAAAACCAUUCAAAUUGGCCGUCAAGACAGAACUACCAAAUUACUUAUUUAAUUAUUUGUAGCUCGCCGAAUUAGAGAUGAUAAUAAUGGCAAACCAAAACCCGGAAAUUCAAAAGUCAAUAUUGCUAUACGUAUAUGGUUAUUAUUUUUUGGGGUCAAAUCAACAAGCCCGCUCUUUACAUAAUUAAGUAAUUAACUAGUAUACUCACAAAAAAACUGGUUACACCAAAAAAACGUUUUUUCUAAUCGUUUUGUAUUACUCUCUCUGUUCUUAAAAAAUUGAUGUUAUACAGUUUUCAUAUAUAUUAAAAAGCAAUCAUUGUUUAAUUAUUUGUCAAUUAUUAUUAUACUAGAUAUUUUUUAAUAACUUUGAACCAAUAGUAUUAGAAAACAGUUAAUCAUUACGUCUUGAAGUUUACGAUAUAUUAAUUUUAAUCAGUAAAAAAUAAAACAAAAACCUAAAAAUUUAAACUUUGUGAAAUAAACUAAAAAUCUAGAUAACAUCAAAUAUCUAGCAACAGAGACAGUAUUAAACAUGUGCUAAAUUUAGUGCUAAUGUAAAAAGAAACAACACAGGCAAAAUAAAAGUAAUUUUCUUAAAUUAAUUACAUACAACUUCUUAGAUAGAACCAAACGAGAGAGGGAAAAAUAAAGAAAACUAUUACCUGUCACGUGGAAGCAAAAUGCAUGAAAUUAUAUAUGGAGUAAUAGGAAUUAAAAUAAGAAAUUCUUAAGUUAUACACAAUAUGGAUGUAUAUGUCAAUGUAUUUGGCUUGUGUUGGGGAAAAGGAGAUUUUCAUACCCGUAUUAUCGGGACCGUGGAUUUUUAUACUUCGACAUUUUUGUAGUGUAUUUUCCAACCCAAACUGAAAUAAAAUUUGAAUUUAAUACCUGUAUUUGAUAAAUCGUGCAAAAAACGGAGUCAAUCUAACGGGUGUUAGUCAACUCCGUUAUGAUGCUGAGUCAUCGUACACGUGUACGCUGACGUGUAUCCCAUACGACGUCGUUUUGAUAAUUGUUCUCAAAAGUUUAAUUUUUUUGCAAAAUCGGGGAUUCGAACCCGUGUCCCUUGGCUUGUAUAUGUCAAUGUAUUUGGCUUGUGUUGGGGAAAAGGAGAUUUUCAUACCCGUACUAUCGGGACCGUGGAUUUUUAUACUUCGACAUUUUUGUAGUGUAUUUUCCAACCCAAACUGAAAUAAAAUUUGAAUUUAAUACCUGUAUUUGAUAAAUCGUGCAAAAAACGGAGUCAAUCUAACGGGUGUUAGUCAACUCCGUUAUGAUGCUGAGUCAUCGUACACAUGUACGCUGACGUGUAUCCCAUACGACGUCGUUUUGAUAAUUGUUCUCAAAAGUUUAAUUUUUUUGCAAAAUCGGGGAUUCGAACCCGUGUCCCUUGGCCCAACAUCGAGCACCUUUACCAAUUCAUCCCACAACUCUAAUCGAACAUUGCCCAAUCAUUUUAAGUUAUAAACCUUAAUAGUUGUGUGUUUGGAAAUAAACCAAACGACGUCGUUUUCAAUUGAGGGAAAAAUAAGAAUUCUAGUGCUGCGAAUUGUGCGAAAAUUCACCGGACGAUUCGCCGGCGGGAACAUGAGACACGAGAGGCUUAAGAGCUGGGCUGCUUGAUAUACGUGGCAUUUUCUCAUUGGUUGCGACGGGUUGUUCGUUAUUAAUCAGAAACGACGAGUUUGUUUUGCCGUUGAAACUCCGGCUACCGAAACACGAGAACCUCGCCGCUCUCUCUGCAAAUCCCGGAUCGCCGUCAAAUUCUGUUAUCGGCGUCGUCGUUUUCGUCACCAUCAUACGUCUAGGCGUUGGAGAGCUCAUCGGAGUUGCGUAACACGAACCAGUGACGUUUCCAUUGCUCGCCGGUGUUCCAUAGAUGUCGCCGAUGUUACUUAAUCUCCCGAUUGAAAACGACGUCGUUUGGUUUAUUUCCAAACACACAACUAUUAAGGUUUAUAACUUAAAAUGAUUGGAGUAUGUUCGAUUAGAGUUGUGGGAUGAAUUGGUAAAGGUGCUCGAUGUUGGGCCAAGUGACACGGGUUCGAAUCCCCGAUUUUGCAAAAAAUUUAAACUUUUGAGAACAAUUGUCAAAACGACGUCGUAUGGGAUACACGUCAGCGUACACGUGUACGAUGACUCUGCAUCGUAACGGAGUUGAUUAACACCCGUUAGAUUGACUCCGUUUUUUUGCACGAUUUAUCAAAUACAGGUAUGAAAUUCAAAUUUUAUUUUAGUUUGGGUUGGAAAAUACACUACCAAAAUAUCGAGGUAUAAAAAUCCACGGUUCCGAUAGUACGUGUAUGAAAAUCCCCUUUUCCCGCUUGUGUUGUGUCCAGAUUCUUUUUAAACUAGUAUACUAUAGUGUUUCAUUUACCUUUUCUCUUUUGUCUAAGGCAUCAAAGAUUUGGUUUGGGAGUGUUACUUUUCUGCUCUGCAAAAGAAAAACCUUUAUUCCUAUUAUUUUGUCAUUUUUUACUAUAAAGUCGAUAUCAAAGCUUCCUGAUUUCAUAAUUGCUAAAUGUUCUUUAUUGUGAAUUUUGAGAAUUAAAAAGACAAAAUUCUUUGUAAUCUUUUUGUAUUAUUGAACAUGCGUUAAAAGGAAACUUUUUUGCAAACCUUUCAAUUUCAUAAAUUUAAUUUAAAAAUCAAUUACUGGUCCUACAAAGUAGUUGUAUACAACUUAUUAGAUAGUAUGGCGAGACUUUAAGAAAAAGGAUUGGACGGUGAGAAAAUUAAAGGAAAAAGAUUCAUAGCAAAAUAGUACCAAAAAAAAAAAAUUAUCACCUUUUAUGAUUCAGCAAAAUGCAAAUGCGUGGAAUAUAGAGUAACAGGAAUCCAUAAAUUUUACAGUCAGAAUAAUAAGUUGUAGUCUAAGAGUUUUGAGAAUAAAUAUUAGAUAUCACUAAUUCAAUUCUAUUAGAAAAGAGUGAUUUACGUUUAAAAUGCGAUAUACAUAAUUAACAACUGAUCUGAAUAUCAAAAAGAUUAUGGAUCAAAAGUCCGAAAACUCUACUAUUUUUAUCAAAAAGACAAUAAUUUUUGUUGGUCUCCUUUAACUAGUGAACACGUGAACGCAUGAUCCACCACCGGUUCGGUCUCCAAUACCGUCUCAAGUAGAUUAACUAAAAUUGAUCACUACUGACAAAGAAAAAAAAAAAAGAGUCUAUAUAUAUUGCCUCUCAAGUCUCUCAGUGUCAUCAAAGUGUAAAGUGAAACAAAGACUUGAGUUACUAUGUCUACUACCGAAGAAAUGUCAGCAGUCAAAAACAAAACUCCCAUUAACGGCGUUGACCCAUCCUCCACCGUACGAGUUACCAUCAUUCAAUCUUCCACCGUCUAUAACGAUACUCCCGCCACUCUAGGUCACUAAUUAUCCAUUAAUUCCCCUAUAUUUUUUUUAUAUGUAAAAUUUAUCAAAACGUUCCAUUUCGAUUUGUAGACAAGGCGGAGAAGUUUAUUGUAGAGGCGGCAAGCAAGGGUGCGAGGCUAGUGUUGUUCCCGGAGGCGUUUAUCGGUGGUUAUCCUCGUGGUUUUAGGUUUGGUUUAGCGGUGGGAGUUCAUAACGAAGAAGGGCGUGAUGAGUUCUGCAACUACCAUGCUUCUGCUAUUAAAGUUCCUGGUAAAACCUACGUUGACUCUUCUUUUUUUUUUUUUUGUGUCCGAAUUUGCAUUUUCAUUUUCUUGUCUUGUAUUUUAUCCGUUAAAUAAUUUUGUUUAUUACAUUUUCUUAUUUUGUUCUUAUCCGUAAAUUGAUCUUUUAAUAGAUUUUUGACUAAUCAAUUAACUUUUGAACAAAAAUCAUCAAUUAUUUUGUGUUUAUAUAAACACCAUCCGAUCUUUAUCGAGUCAAAAGAUUCGGCUAUGAAUGAUAUAAUAUUCAGGAUCCGUGAAAAUCGGAUCCAAAUCGCUUAAUGUAUACUCUUGAAUGUCUUAUUCUUCUUGGCAACAUAUGAUAUACUUUGUUAUUAAUAAUUUAAUUACUUUGUUUGUCAAUAUAACAUAUUAAAGCUUUCUUACAAAGGUAAAGAAAUAUUUUUACUGUUUUCCUCUGUCCACAUCUGUUUGUUUUCUGUUUUUUUUUUGGCUUUUUUGGUUUGUUUUUAACGUAUCCGGAUCUUUUGCUACGCUUAAGGGUUCAGAAAUCUGGAAUAUGAUUUUUAUUUGUGGUUGGUCUUGAGGACAGUUGAAUUUUAUUUGGAACAAAGUAAACUUAACUCUUAGGAAAAACAUGUUUCAUUUCGAGUUCUCUGUUUUGUCACUAUGAGUGUUAUAGCUCUAGUUUAGUUGAACUCUCUCAAAGCCUGGAUCACAAAAUGGUUAUUUCUUGCAUAUGGUUGGUACUCUUGUAAAUGUUGUAAUGAAUCUACAGGCCCUGAAGUAGAAAGAUUGGCUGAGUUGGCCGGGAAAAACAAUGUGCAUUUGGUAAUGGGGGCUAUAGAGAAGGAUGGUUAUACACUCUAUUGUACCGCUCUUUUCUUCAGUCCACAAGGUCGGUUUUUAGGUAAGCACCGGAAAGUCAUGCCUACAUCUUUGGAACGUUGCAUAUGGGGUCAAGGGGACGGAUCAACCAUCCCCGUUUACGACACUCCCAUUGGCAAAAUUGGUGCUGCUAUUUGCUGGGAGAAUAGAAUGCCCCUCUAUAGAACUGCAUUAUACGCUAAAGGUCAGCUUUUAAUGCAAUGUAGUGUGACAUAUCCGGCUUUUGAUAUAAGAUUCCUAAUAAAUUUGCGAUUUUUGGUGCACAGGCAUUGAGAUUUAUUGUGCACCUACUGCUGAUUAUUCGUUGGAAUGGCAAGCAUCGAUGAUUCACAUUGCGGUAGAAGGUGGAUGUUUCGUGUUGUCAGCGCACCAGUUCUGCAAGCGCAAAGAGUUCCCUGAACAUCCUGAUUACUUGUUUAAUGACAUAGUAGACACUAAAGAACAUGAUCCUACUGUCUCCGGAGGUGGAAGUGUCAUUAUUUCACCUUUGGGACAGGUUCUCGCCGGACCAAACUAUGAAUCAGAGGGUCUCGUCACAGCUGAUCUUGGUAUAUAUAUACACUCUUUCUAGUCUUCUUUAUAUUCAUUUUAGGCUAUAGACAAUGUUAACUUUUUUGAGCUAAUCAUGCAUAUUGGUAACGUUCUUUUUUUCAUCAAG